rnacentral:lncRNA from 1 species
GCCAGAGUGAAUUUACGAACGCACCCAGAGUCAAAGUAGUGAAAUGGGGUAGUAGGUUUUUAAUGAGUGUAGAUGUUGGUGUCUAGGGCUAUAUUUUACCUUUUAAGAGGAACAGGACGAAUGAAGAGAAUUUAGGUGGGCCAUGGCUGGCCUCUCACUCCAGUACGAUAGGUGGUGAUGUAUACAGCUAAAAGUUGGAUGCGAUCCGCCAACCAAAUCCCAAAGGAGAAGCUAGCUAGCAGGAAGCCCCGCUAAUGAAUUGAGGAGUGGACCAAAGCGCAGCGUGGUAAGUGUUCAUCGUUGUAUUUAUUUUACCUCAGAACACUACAAACAAAAAGGAAUAAACAAUGAAUACGACCGUAACGUCUUGCAGGCUAUAACGAGCAAAAUAAAAAUCCCACAACUACAGGUGGGGGGAAAGGCUGCCUAAGUAUGGUUCCUAAUCAGAGACAACGAUAGACAGCUGCCUCUGAUUAGGAACCACACUCGGCUCAACACAAAGAAAUACUAAAACAUAGAAUUCCCACCCCACACCUUGACCUAACCACAUAGAGAAACAAACCGUCUCUCUCAGGUCAGGGCGUGACAAGGGCUUUAUAAAUACAUUUGAUUGAUUGACUAUCAUCGGCAGUGGUAGGUCAUUCUAUUGAAACAGCAGCUGUUUUGAGAUUUCAUUUGGUCACUUCUUCUGUGUUGUUGAGGCUGUAAUAUUUUUUGGGGACCUCCUCAUCUGGUGGAUUUAUAUGAGAAUCUUUGAUACACAUUACACAAAAGGUAGCCUAGUGGCUAGUAACCGAAAGGUUCCUGGAUCGAAUCCCCCGAGCUGACAAGGUAAAAAUGUUGUCGUUCUGCCCUUUGAGCAAGGCACUUAACCCACUUUUCCGCGGGCGCCGAAGAUGUGGAUGUCGAUUAUGGCAUCUCCCAGCACCUCACCUCUCUGAUUCAGAGGUGGUUGGGUUAAUUGCAGAAGAUACAUUUCAGUUGAAUGCAUUCAGUUGUACAACUGACUAGGUAUCGUUCUUUCCCUUACCGAUGCUGCAGCUGUUGUUCCACUGUACUGUUUGACUGAAGCGUGCGUGUGUGUGCGUACUGCCUCCUGCUGGUGUGAUGGAGAGGUGACGUGUUAGCGUGUCCCUGAUCUAAUGACCGUACAGACAAAUCCAUCGAUCACUUGAAACCAUUCAUUCCUAUUGUGAAGACUCAAUAGCGCAUUGAAGCCAAUUUAAGUCAUUAAGAUGGCACAUACACAGCUUUGAGCUGCUUCAGUAAAUGACAUUGCAGGUUAGCUCAGUGCUGCCCCCGUCUAAAUGAGUAACUCAAGUUGAAGGUCGACCGGGAUACAUACAGGCUGUCUUUAGCAACUCAAUUAUCCUUAACUUCUUUUGUGUGGAAUUUGAAAAUAGUCUGUUCAAGAAUAUACAUCUGGCGUACUAGAAGCAGGGAUGUGACAAAUUAACCGUUUUUGCUUAUUAAUGUUUAAUCCGGAAAAUAAUAACAAAAAAAAUUAACGGAACAGAAUUAGAACCGGGAACGGAAGUGAUAUAUACUGUUCCGGAACAGAACUGUUAUUUUAAAAGCAUGGGAACCGGUUAAUAACCCACAAAAUAUGCAACAAAGUGCCUGCGCAAAACCCUUCCAUCUGUCAAUCAGAACCUUUUUCCAGUGUCUGCUUGCAAGCUGAAAGUCUUUACCUGUGUGUAUGUAGUCUACCUGAACUUUUCAAAGCGCUGGUAGUGUGUUCAGAUUUAUAACACCUGAAGCAUGCUCAGAAGAUACAAAUACAAGACUACUUACCGAGCUGGUGCAUGUGUUUACCUGGUUCUGAGCAUGUUUCAGGUGAUAGAAAUCAGAACGCACAACCAGCGCUUUGAAAAGUUAAUGUUAUUAUACUUUCCUGUGGAUAUAUUGUGUCAAAUUCCCACCGCCAAAAAAAAGGACCAACUACACGGACAACCGGUAAAGUAAAGUUAAAAUAUAAUUGUGCACGGGUUCACUUCACGCUGUUCACAGCGUGGUAGCCAAGACUUCAAAACAGCAAGGCCUCGUGUUUCAACGCUCCUAAACCCACUAUGCUGGUUACUUUCUGCAUCUAUGUUAACAAUUGUUCUUAAAAAAAACGAAAUUGUGUUCCUUAACAUUAACAUUCACACACUUCACACCCCUAAUUAGAAGCUAUUAUUGGCACCAUGAUUGUUUUCCAAACAUGUUUUUAUUUACACGAAGGUUGACUACGAAGAUUGCCAUUUUUCCAUUGAUUAUAAUUGGGGGGGGGUCCUGCUUUCUGCAAAUAAUGUAUGCAGUACUGCGGUGGGCCUUGAACUUCUGUGGCUUCAAUAAGAGGGGGCAGUCGUUCUCCCCUGUCCUGGCUGUCUUGUGUGUGUGUGUGUGUGUACUGCCCCCUGCAGGUCUAAUGGGGAGGUGACGUAUCCCUGACCAGAGGAGAGAAAAGACCCAGGACUCUUGUGUCCAGAACAGUGCCCAAUGCAGAGAGACCUAGCCCAGCCAUGACCGAAUGCUUCCUGCCCCCCAGUAGCAGCCCGGCUCGGAGGUACGUCGGGUCGGGCGGAGCACCCAGGAAGGGUGGCUCGUACGCCCAGCUCGGAGGAGAUCAGCCCCACCAGAUUUCAAUCAUUUGGCAGCUGCUCUUAUCCAGUGACUUACACUUCGUUCAUCCAUCUUAAGUGACUUACACUUCGUUCAUCCAUCUUAAGUGACUUACACUUCGUUCAUUCAUCUUAACAUGGCUACUUGGUGAGACAACCACGUCACAAUCAUAGUAGUGAUGGGGGGGGGUCCAUACAGUUACAUAUUGCAUUAUUAUUAUGGGAUGAUAUUUUACUGAUACUUUGACUCCAAGUAUCGAUGUGUAAACAUGUACAUUUACACCAAGGUUGACUACGAUUUGUCUUCUAGGUAGUGUUAGCUGGAGCUAGUUGGUUAUACCUGCGCCAAAACUCGUAUUUUUCGUCCUUUAGCUUUUUCGCAUCUUAAAGCUUGUGGGUCGUUCCAUUUUUAUUUUAAUCACUUUUUUUGUUGUUGACAGCACCCCUUUUGAUUUGAACGAAACCUUCCAUACAUAUUUGCCCCAUAGUAGAAGAGGUUAGAAAAGUUACUUUUUUUUUUGGACCUGAAUGACAAAAUAUUUAGGAGAUAGAGGUGCUCAAAGUUGACCCAUUUUGCAUAUCUUACCCUAUCGUGAGACAUUCAUGUCUUCAUCACUGGGAAAGAUUAACGGUGGAGUUUGAUAUCAUUUACAGUGCCUUCAUAACCAUGGACGUGCUCCACAUGUUGUUGUGUUACAGCCUGAAUUCAAAAUGGAUUCAAUGUAUUUAUUUUAUCUCUCCCAAUCUACACACAAUAUCCCAUAAUGACAAAGUGAAAACCCUGUUUUUCAAAAAAAAAUAUUUGCAAAUGAAAAUAAAGAAAUAUCUAAUUUACAUAAGAAUUCACACCCCUUUGCUAUUACACUCCAAGUGGAGCUCAGAUGCAAUUCAGGCUGUAACACCACAAAAUGUGGAAUAAGUCAAAGGGGUCUGAAUACCUUCUGAAGACACUGUACAAGCUUCUAAACAGGGUUGUAAAACUAUUUAUAUAUAUAUAUAUAUAUAUUUUUUUUUUAAAUCUAAAAACACGUAAACUCAGUUUUUGUUGUUGUAGUUUAGACCCUACUUGACAUAAUCUGAGGUGUUUGUAAGUCCUCUGUAUAGUAAGGUAGGCUUUUAACCCCUUGUGUAUAGUAAGGUAGGCUUUUAACCCCUUAUGCCCAGUCUGGGGUAUAACCAAACUACGUUUUAUCAUGGUUUUUCCAUGUUACUAAAUGUAGCUUUCCCUCCCAGGGCAUAGUGACUGGAGAGGGGAAGACAUGGACAGUUUGAGAGACUCCCUGUACCCAGUGUGUCACAUACAGCAGUCCGAUACACAAGCUAGAAGAUCACACUAUAGUGGUACUGGUCCGAAGAGAGCAACAGGUGAAGUGAGGGUCACCUAACGCUCUUUUGACAACAGUGGGUUGUGAUUGGUUCUGAGGAAAUAUCACAGCUCUGAGGUUUGUUCAGGAAAAGCAAGUCGCUAGCCAGGUGCUGUGGGAUUUUGUGCUAAACUCUCUCUCCCUUCCUGUGUUACAUGUUCUCUUUCUCUCUCUCUCUCUCUCUCUCUCUCUCUCUCUCUCUCUCUCUCUCUCUCUGUCUCUCUGUCUCUCUGUCUCUCUGUCUCUCUCUGUCUCUGUCUCUCUGUCUCUCUCUCUCUCUCUCUCUCUCUCUCUCUCUCUCUGUCUCUCUCUGUCGUUCACUACAUCCCUGUACAACGGUUUGUGGUAAAGGUUCAUCCAGGGAGAGUGGUGUGAAACGAUCCAAGGGAAUCAAUGUGGGGGCUAUAUACAGGGGGUACCGGUACAGAGUCAAUGUGGAAACUAUAUACAGGGGGUACUGGUACAGAGUCAAUGUGGAGGCUAUAUACAGGGGGUACCGGUACAGAGUCAAUGUGGAGGCUAUAUACAGGGAGUACCGGUACAGAGUCAAUGUGGAAACUAUAUACAGGGGGUACCGGUACAGAGUCAAUGUGGAGGCUAUAUACAGGGUGUUAUGGUACAGAGUCAAUGUGGAGGCUAUAUACAGGGGGUACCGGUACAGAGUCAACGGCUUGGGGUUAGAAGCUGUUAAGAAGCCUCUUGGACCUAGACUUGGCGCUCCGGUACCGCUUGCUAUGCGGUAGCAGAGAGAACAGUCUAUGACAAGGGUGGCUGGAGUCUUUGUCAAUCUUUAGGGCCUUCCUCUGACACCGCCUGGUGUAGAGGUCCUGGAUGGCAGGAAGCUUGGCCCCAGUGAUGUACUGGGCCGUUCGCACUACCCUCUGUAGCGCCUUGCGGUCGGAGGCCGAGCAGUUUCCAUAGCAAGCAGUGAUGCAACCAGUCAGGAUGCUCUCGAUGGUGCAGCUGUAGAACCUUUUGAGGAUCUGAGGGCAAAUGCCAAAUCUUUUCAGUCUCCUGAGGGGGAAUAGGCUUUGUCGUGCCCUCUUCACGACUGUCUUGGUGUGUUUGGACCAUGUUAGUUUGUUGGUGAUGUGGACACCAAGGAACUUGAAGCUCUCAACCUGCUCCACUACAGCCCCGUCGAUGAGAAUGGGGUGGUGCUUGGUCCUCUUUUUCCUGUAGUUCACAAUCAUCUCCUUCGUUUUGAUCACGUUGAGGGAGAGGUUGUUGUCCUUGCACCACACGGCCAGGUCUCUGACCUCCUCCCUAUAGGCUGUCUCGUCAUUGUCGGUGAUCAGGAUCACUGUUGUGUCGUCUGCAAACUUAAUGAUGGUGGUGGAGUCGUGCCUGGCCAUGCAGUCAUGAGUGAACAGGGAGUACAGGAGGGGACUGAGCACGCACCACUGAGGGGCCCCUGUAUUGAGGAUCAGAGUGGCAGAUGUGUUGUUGCCUACUCUUACCACCUGGGGGCGGCCCGUCAGGAAGUCCACGAUCCAGUUGCAGAGGGAGGUGUUUAGUCCCAGGGCCCUUAGCUUAGUGAUGAGCUUUGAGGGCACUAUGGUGUUGAACGCUGAGCUGUAGUCAAUGAAUAACAUUCUCACAUAGGUGUUCCUUUUGUCCAGGUGGGAAAGAACAGUGUGGAGUGCAAUAGAGAUUGCAUCAUCUGUGGAUCUGUUGGGGCGGUAUGCAAAUUGGAGAGGGUCUAGGGUUUCUGGGAUAAUGGUGUUGAUGUGAGCCAUGACCAGCCUUUCAAAGCACUUCAUGACUACGGACGUGAGUGCUACGGGUCGGUAGUCAUUUAGGCAGGUUACCUAAGUGUUCUUGGGCACAGGGACUAUGGUGGUCCGCUUAAAACAUGUUGGUAUUACAGACUCAGACAGGUAGAGGUUGAGAAUGUCAGUGAAGACACUUGCCAGUUGGUCCGCGCAUGCUCGGAGUACACGUCCUGGUAAUCCGUCUGGCCCUGCGGCCUUGUGAAUGUUGACCUGUUUAAAGGUUUUACUCACAUCGGCUACGGAGAGCGUGAUCACACAGUCGUCCGGGACAUUGAGAUCAUCGCUAAUGAUCUCAGUGAUCACUGUCCUACUGCAUGUAUUAGAGAUACCAAACAGAUUAACAGUGAUCCUAGGGCUGGGCGAUAUAUCAAAUUCAUUCAAAUUAAUGUUUUGGAUCUAUAUUCCCAAUGCCUGUUUCGCAAGAAUCAAGGUUUUGUUUAUUUUUUGUUUUUUUUAUGUACAUUUGUCCGCUUGUUCUCAUGUUGUCUUUUUGGUCUCGUCUCUUUCGCUCCUUCUGCUGUGACUGUGCCCCUUCCAAUUUACACACACACACCAAGCCCAAGCGGUCCUGUUCUGUGAGCUUGUGUGGCCUACCACUUCACGGCUGAGCCGUUGUUGCUCCUAGACGUUUCCACUUCACAAUAACAGCACUUACAGUUGACCGGGGCAGCUCUAGCAGGGCAGAAAUUUGACGAACUGACUUGUUGGAAAGGUGGCAUCCUAUGACGGUGCCACGUUGAAAGUCACUGAGCUCUUCAGUAAGGCCAUUUUAUUGCCGAUGUUUGUCUAUGGAGAUUGCAUAGCUGUGUGCUCGAUUUUAUACACCUUUCAGCAACAGGUGUGGCUGAAAUAGCCGAAUCCACUAAAUUGAAGGAGUGUCCACAUACUUUUGUAUUACUGACUUUUCUUCUAUCAGCUGCAAGCCUGGCCCUAAAUUGGCUCCAGAAUCAUAAUUCUCAUUAAUUUCUUUCUGGCAGAAAAACACGCUCCCUUUAAACCCGCGUAGAACAAAAAAUAGAACAUCCGUGGUUCUCUACAGAACUUUCAAAUGUUGUUAUGAUGAGAAAUCAGGCCUGGGUCAAGGCUAGAAAAACUGACUCUGUGGCUGAUUGGCAGCUAUUCAGGCAAUUGAGAAAUAGAUUCACUUCCUCAUUCAAGAAAGCUAAAUUUAGCUACUUUCUAAGCUCUGUCUCAGACUCUGCCGGUUUUUGGAAAAUAGUUUAAUGUACUGAAGUGUUGAAAUUCCUGCCUAAGCAAGUUGUCAGACUCUGGGAUAUUUACUGAGAAAAAUGUGAUAAAAUGCCAAUUAAAAGCAUCAUUUAUCUCAGCAGGCUUUUUAUUUGAAAGAAAUGGUGGUUUAAUUUCCGCUGCUCAGCCAGUCGACUACCUUUCCCAGGCUCUAGUUGUAUCGAUGGAAGCUCCAUUAACUUCUAGUGAAGCUUUGUCUUUAUUUCAAUAUCUUUCUACUUUCUACUGAUUGUGGCUAAAUUCCUUGCUUACAAUUGUUGUAAAAGAAAAAGCAGCUCUGGCUGAUUUGCUUGAUCCUUUCUUGCUGCAGCUUUCUGCUCCUCUACUCUACUGAAUAUUUAACACAUUUUUAACCUUAACAAUUAUUUCUGCUACCAUCCACAGUGUCUGGAAGAAGGUCCAUAUACUCCCCCUUACACAAAGGCGGUGACCCAUGUGAAUGAAAUAACUAUCGCCCCAUUUGUAAACUCUCUUGCCUAGCAAAAAUUAUAGGUUUUAUUAUAUUAUGUAGAUUAUAUGGCUCAGUUUAUAUAUAUAUGUGGCUCAGUUUAUAUAUAUAUAUAUAUGUGGCUCAGUUGGUAGAGCAUGGUGUUUGCAACGCCAGGGUUGUGGGUUCGAUUCCCACGGGGGACCAGUACGGAGAAAAAAAAUGUAUGAAAUGUUUGCAUUCACAACUGUAAGUCGCUCUGGAUAAGAGCGUCUGCUAAAAUGACAAAAAUGUAAUGUAAAAUGUAAAUUUAUUGGUAAAUACUCAACUUAGAUCAUUUUAAACUAUGAAAUGUAUUCUAAAUGUACACCACUUAGGCUUCAGACCAGGUCAUAGCACCAUCUGUUAUUUAUUUUGUUUUAAAUGAUGUUGUAAAUUGUUUGGAUAAGAAGAAACACUGUGCUAACCUUUUACUUUAUUGACCUGUCUGUCACGUCCUGACCAGUAAUAGGGGUUAUUUGUUAUUGUAGUUUGGUCAGGACGUGGCAGAGGGGUGUUUGUUUUAUGUGGUUCGGGGUGGUAGUUUGUUUAGUAGGGUAUUUGAUUUAUGUAUUCCGGGGGUUUUUGGGCACUGUUCUAUGUUAGUGUAUUUCUAUGUACUGUCUAGUCUUUUGUAUUUCUAUGUUUUGUUAAUUGGGGUUGGACUCUCAAUUGGAGGCAGGUGUUUUCUAGUUGCCUCUGAUUGAGAGUCCUAUAUAUAGGUAUGUGUUUGUUGAGUGCUUGGUGGGAGAUUGUUCUGUGUAUAGCCUUGUGCCUUACCAGCAUGUGAUUAGUCGUUGUGUUUUCUUUGUGUACGUGUUUGUUUUGGUUCUCCUUCUUGUCCGAAUAUAAUAAAGAAGAUGAGCGCACAUUUCCCCGCUGCAUUUUGGUCUAAAUCCGACAACAACCGUUACACUGUAAAUUGUUUGGAUAAGAAGAAACACUGUGCUAACCUUUUACUUUAUUGACCUGUCUAAAGCCUUCGACAUUGAGGAUCACACAUUACUUAUUCAGAGGCUUUCAUUAAUUGGUCUGUACCAG